AUUGAACGCUGGCGGAAUGCUUUACACAUGCAAGUCGAACGGCAGCACGGACUUCGGUCUGGUGGCGAGUGGCGAACGGGUGAGUAAUGUAUCGGAACGUGCCCAGUCGUGGGGGAUAACGUAGUGAAAAUUACGCUAAUACCGCAUACGAUCUAUGGAUGAAAGCGGGGGAUCGCAAGACCUCGCGCGAUUGGACCGGCCGAUAUAAGAUUAGGUAGUUGGUGGGGUAAAGGCCCACCAAGCCAACGAUCUGUAGCUGGUCUGAGAGGACGACCAGCCACACUGGAACUGAGACACGGUCCAGACUCCUACGGGAGGCAGCAGUGGGGAAUUUUGGACAAUGGGCGAAAGCCUGAUCCAGCCAUUCCGCGUGCAGGAUGAAGGCCCUCGGGUUGUAAACUGCUUUUGUACAGAACGAAAAGGUUUCUACUAAUACUAGGAGCUCAUGACGGUACUGUAAGAAUAAGCACCGGCUAACUACGUGCCAGCAGCCGCCGUAA
rnacentral:rRNA from 1 species